ACCCCGUCUGGUAUGAGACAACAUUCACGGUAGGGCUCCCGAUUGUACUCGAUCCGUCCACCAUCUCCCAAGAUAUCCAGUAAGACUAUCGUUUCAUCCAUUCACUUAAUCACACAGCUCUCAUUUACCUUUAAUAUCUAGUUUUCCAAUUCAACUGUAAUCACAUAAACAAACAAACAUGCAUUAGGAAAUAUAAUCGUAUCUCGGUUUUCCAAUUUCACAAUAGUCACAUAAGGCAGUAAUAGAUGUAUUCAAAAUUAUAAAAU
rnacentral:lncRNA from 1 species